GAUGAACGCUGACAGAAUGCUUAACACAUGCAAGUCAACUUGAACUUCGGUUUGGGUGGCGGACGGGUGAGUAACGCGUAAAGAACUUGCCUCACAGCUAGGGACAACAUUUGGAAACGAAUGCUAAUACCUGAUAUUAUGAUUAUAUGGCAUCGUAUAAUUAUGAAAGCUAUCUGCGCUGUGAGAGAGCUUUGCGUCCCAUUAGCUAGUUGGAGAGGUAACAGCUCACCAAGGCGAUGAUGGGUAGCCGGCCUGAGAGGGUGAUCGGCCACAAGGGGACUGGGACACGGCCCUUACUCCUACGGGAGGCAGCAGUGGGGAAUAUGGGACAAUGGACCGAGAGUCUGAUCCAGGAAUUCUAUGUGCACGAUGAAGUUUUUCGGAAUGUAAAGUGCUUUCAGUUGGGAAGAAAAAAAUGACGGCACCAACAGAAGAAGUGACGGCUAAAUACGUG
rnacentral:rRNA from 1 species